CUGCAUGAUGAAAAGCAGGGUAUGCAACACCAAAUUGACUAGAGAAAGAUGUAGCAAAAGACCUCCUAGUAGUCUCUGGAA